CUUCUACAUCAGUUGGAUGUGGAUCAAUCUAAGGAGAGAAGAAAGACAACAAUUACUGCCUGCAAUUCCUGCAUUUGGGUAUCUGUACUCCCAGAGGCAAUGUGGUUUCCUCGGACAUUGGCAACCAUCUGACGGAAGGUUUUUGUCUUCCCACUGGCCAGAAUGUGGGUAUGAUGCCUUCAAACUCCUCACUAAUGAAUAUAAAGACUAUUCUGCUUACAGAUGUCACUGCCAAAAUACCCCAAGUUCUGCCUAGAAUGGAUUAAAAUGUAAGCAUGUAAUGAGGGGGAAAAAAGCCUGCUCAAAACAUCUCUUUUCUAUGUUCACGUCAUGAUGUUAAAAUUAUCCUACCAUUUUAAAUAAAAUAGAAAUGACUCAUUCAUAUUUAAAUGAAUAACCAUUUAGAUCCAGUUGCUAUCAUGAAAGUGCAAGGUAUAAUUUUAUAUUAUUUUCAUAAUAUGGGUUGAGAUAAAAGAAUCCAGCUCAUUAGCUUCCAUCUUGCCUAUUUACUCAUUACUUAAUGCCUGAUCUUUCUUAUUACUCUACAGUAUUUCCAGUGAUUAUUAAAACUCAAUGCUUUAAUGUGGCCAAAUCUGUCACAGGGAAAUAACUGAAAGGAUCUCUGGAGCAGCUGCAUGCACACACUUCAUGGUAGAAAACGACAUGCAAAAUGCAGGGAUAUGUAACAUAAUGGCCAGAGCCUAAAUGACAGGCUGGGCAUGAUUAACACUCUUCCCUAAUUACUGCUCCUCAACCUACUAUUAUUGUAGAGUUUAGGACACUGCAGCCCUGUGAAUGUAGUUGCUCUGGUAAGAGUAACUACUCUGCACACACACAUUACUAUUAUUAAGCCUUAUUUAUGCAUCUGAAGCCUGCCUAACUUUUUGGCAGGAGCAUCUCUGCCAGCAGGGAUGUAAUCAAUGGUAUUAAAAAAGCCACUCUGUUUGCUAUUCACACAACCUAAGAUAAUCUAUUUAUAGUGAAAAGCUUAGGGAGCUUAUAUGCUUUCAGAAAUCAGAAAAUGAUGCUCUGGAAUAACAUGGGAAGGGUUAUGACUGGAUGUGAAUGCUGCUUGGGAAUGGUUUAUUUAUUUGCAGC